rnacentral:sRNA from 1 species
GCGAUGCUACAAUAGCCUGGGUAUUUGA